rnacentral:rRNA from 1 species
CCAAAGUUAGUGGCAAACGGGUGAGUAAUACAUAUCUAACAUGCCCCUCUGUGGGGGAUAGCCGCUUGAAAAAGCGAUUAAUACCCCAUAGGAAGCUUUAUCCAUGAUUUAGCUUUUAAAGCCUUCGGGCGCUGAGGGAUUGGGAUAUGCUCUAUUAGCUAGUUGGCGGGAUAAAAGCCCACCAAGGCAAUGAUAGAUAGCUGGUCUUAGAGGAUGAACAGCCACAAUGGGAUUGAGAUACGGCCCAUAUUCCUACGGGAAGCAGCAGUAGGGAAUCUUCCACAAUGGACGAAAGUCUGAUGGAGCAAUACCAUGUGAACGAUGAAGGCCUUUUUGGUUGUAAAGUUCUUUUACGAGGGAUAAUUAUGAUAGUACUUCGUGAAUAAGUGACAGCAAACUAUGUGCCAGCAGCUGCGGUAAUACAUAGGUCGCGAGCAUUAUUCGGAUUUAUUGGGCGUAAAGCAAGCGCAGGCGGAUGUGUAAGUUCUGUGUUAAAUGCAGCUACUCAAUAGUUGUAUGCACCGAAUACUACAUGUCUAGAUUGUGGUAGGGAGUUUCGGAAUUAAGCAUGGAGCGGUGGAAUGUGUAGAUAUGCUUAAGAACACCAGAGGCGAAGGCGGAAACUUAGGCCAUAAAUGACGCUUAGGCUUGAAAGUGUGGGGAGCAAAUGGGAUUAGAUACCCCAGUAGUCCACACCGUAAACGGUGGGUAUUAGAUAUUAGGGCUUUAGCUUUAGUGUUGUAGCUUACGCGUUAAAUACCCCGCCUGGGUAGUACAUAUGCAAAUAUGAAACUCAAAGGAAUUGACGGGGACCUGAACAAGUGGUGGAGCAUGUUGCUUAAUUCGAUAAUACACGAAAAACCUUACCAAGGUUUGACAUCCCUCGCAAAGCUAUAGAAAUAUAGUAGAGGUUAUCGAGGUGACAGGUGGUGCAUGGCUGUCGUCAGCUCGUGUCUUGAGAUGUUUGGUUAAGUCCCGCAACGAGCGCAACCCCACUCUUUAGUUACUUGUCUAAAGAGACUGCACAGUAAUGUAGAGGAAGGAUGGGAUCACGUCAAGUCAUCAUGCCCCUUAUGCCUUGGGCUGCAAACGUGCUACAAUGGCGAACACAAUGUGUUGCAAACCAGCGAUGGUAAGCUAAUCACCAAAUUUCGUCUCAGUUCGGAUAGGAGG